UCCCCUAGUAACGGCGAGUGAAGCGGGAACAGCUCAAAUUUGAAAUCUGGCCCUUGGGUCCGAGUUGUAAUUUGUAGAGGAUGCUUUUGGUGCGGUGCCUUCCGAGUUCCCUGGAACGGGACGCCUUAGAGGGUGAGAGCCCCGUACGGUUGGACGCCUAGCCUCUGUAAAGCUCCUUCGACGAGUCGAGUAGUUUGGGAAUGCUGCUCUAAAUGGGAGGUAUAUUUCUUCUAAAGCUAAAUACUGGCCAGAGACCGAUAGCGCACAAGUAGAGUGAUCGAAAGAUGAAAAGCACUUUGAAAAGAGGGUUAAAUAGCACGUGAAAUUGUUGAAAGGGAAGCGUUUAUCACCAGACUUUUUCUGGGGGGAUCAUCCGGUGUUCUCACCGGUGCACUUCCCCCAGUUGAGGCCAGCAUCGGUUUUCGGAGGGGGAUAAAAGUUUCGGGAAUGUGACUCCCUCGGGAGUGUUAUAGCCCGUUACAUAAUACCCUUCUGGGGACCGAGGUUCGCGCAUCUGCAAGGAUGCUGGCAUAAUGGUGAUCAACGACCCGUCUUGAAACACGGACCAAGGAGUCGAACAUUUAUGCGAGUGUUUGGGUGUUAAACCCUCACGCGUAAUGAAAGUGAACGGAGGUGAGAGCCCUUACGGGUGCAUCAUCGACCGAUCCUGAUGUCUUCGGAUGGAUUUGAGUAAGAGCAUAACUGUUCGGACCCGAAAGAUGGUGAACUAUGCGUGGAUAGGGUGAAGCCAGGAGAAAUCCUGGUGGAGGCUCGCAGCGGUUCUGACGUGCAAAUCGAUCGUCAAAUCUGCGCAUGGGGGCGAAAGACUAAUCGA
rnacentral:rRNA from 1 species